rnacentral:rRNA from 1 species
CAGUAGCCGCGGUAAUACGGAGGGAGCUAGCGUUGUUCGGAAUUACUGGGCGUAAAGCGCGCGUAGGCGGUUACUCAAGUCAGAGGUGAAAGCCCGGAGCUCAACUCCGGAAUUGCCUUUAAGACUGCCGAGCUAGCAGGUGAGAGAGGUAAGUGGAAUUCCGAGUGUAGAGGUGAAAUUCGUAGAUAUUCGGAAGAACACCAGUGGCGAAGGCGGCUUACUGGCUCAUACUGGACGCUGAGGUGCGAAAGCGUGGGGAGCAAACAGGAUUAGAUACCCCUGUAGUCCCUGUCUCUUAUAC